rnacentral:rRNA from 1 species
GCUCCUACGGGAGGCAGCAGUGAGGAAUAUUGGUCAAUGGCCGAGAGGCUGAACCAGCCAAGUCGCGUGAGGGAUGACGGCCCUACGGGUUGUAAACCUCUUUUGUCGGGGAGCAAAGAGAGUCACGUGUGGCUCAUUGAGAGUACCCGAAGAAAAAGCAUCGGCUAACUCCGUGCCAGCAGCCGCGGUAAUACGGAGGGUGCGAGCGUUAAUCGGAAUUACUGGGCGUAAAGCGCUCGUAGGCGGUAUGUCAAGUCAAGGGUGAAAUCCCCGCGCUCAACGUGGGAACUGCCUUUGAAACUGGG